rnacentral:rRNA from 1 species
AGAGUUUGAUCCUGGCUCAGGAUGAACGCUGGCGGCGUGCCUAAUACAUGCAAGUCGAACGGAGCACUUCGGUGCUUAGUGGCGAACGGGUGAGUAAUAUAUGAACAACCUACCCCUUUGACCGGGAUAACACACUGAAAAGCGUGCUAAUACCGGAUAGGCGAUCGAGAGGCAUCUCUUGAUUAUUAAAGGAGCGCAUGCUCCACAUUGGGAUGGGUUCAUAUCGCAUUAGCUAGUUGGUGAGGUAACGGCCCACCAAGGCGAUGAUGCGUAGCCGAUCUGAGAGGAUGACCGGCCACAUUGGGACUGAGACACGGCCCAGACUCCUACGGGAGGCAGCAGUAGGGAAUUUUCGGCAAUGGGCGCAAGCCUGACCGAGCAACGCCGCGUGAACGAUGAAGGUCUUAUGGAUUGUAAAGUUCUGUUACGAGGGAAGAACAGCACUGAUAGGAAAUGAUCAGUGUGUGACGGUACCUCGCCAGAAAGCCACGGCUAACUACGUGCCAGCAGCCGCGGUAAUACGUAGGUGGCAAGCGUUAUCCGGAAUCAUUGGGCGUAAAGGGUGCGUAGGCGGCUUCUUAAGUUUGUAGUGAAAUCGUAGGGCUCAACUCUAUCUAGCUACAAAAACUGGGAAGCUGGAGUGCGGUAGAGGCUAGUGGAAUUCCUAGUGUAGCGGUGAAAUCCGUAGAUAUUAGAAAGAACACCGAUAGCGUACGCAGGCUACUGGGACGUUUCUGACACUAAGCACGAAAGCGUAGGGAGCAAACGGGAUUAGAUACCCCGGUAGUCUACGCUGUAAACGAUGGAUACUAGCAGUUUCGGGUAUCGACCCC